rnacentral:rRNA from 1 species
GACGAACGCUGGCGGCGUGCUUAACACAUGCAAGUCGAACGGACAGGCCCUGCUUUUGUGGGGUGGUUGAGUGGCGAACGGGUGAGUAACACGUGUGUAACCUGCCCUUGACUUUGGGAUAACUUCAGGAAACUGGGGCUAUUACCGGAUAGGAGCUCCUGCUGCAUGGGGGGGGUCGGAAAGUUUCGGCGGUUGGGGAUGGACUCGCGGCUUAUCAGCUGGUUGGUGGGGUAGUGGCUUACCAAGGCUUUGACGGGUAGCCGGCCUGAGAGGCGGACCGGCGACAUUAGGACUGCGGUACGGCCCAGACGCGAACCGGACGCAACGGUGGAGAGUAUUACACAGUGGGCGGAAGCCAGAUGAAACAACGCCGCGUGCGGGAAGAGGGGCUUCGAGUUGUGAACCAAUGUCGCCUGAGACGAGGCGUGAGUGACGGUAACGGGUAAAGAAGCACCGGCUAACUACGUG